AGCCACCCCCUUUAUAUCACUGGCACUUUGAUAAUUAGUGGUUUCAUCUUCAUCGCUACUCUGAACCUCAUCAUCCUCGAGCUCAUCUUCUUGAAUUCGUGUACUACCUUCUAAAUGCUCUGCUAACUCAUUCACACCAUCAUCAGCAGAUAAAUCAGUUGUUCUAUCAGCAUCAGCUACAUUUAGUUCCUCACUUUCCCCAUCCUCCACCACCUCACUGUAUUCAUCAUCUUCCUCAUCAAAAGCUUCUCUCAAAGCUGCCACCUUCUCCUUAUGCUUCUUGGACUGCUCAUGAUUUUUCCACUGUUUCUCGCUCUUGAACUUCUUCGAACACACAACACAGUAUAAUUCAUUCUCAUCUGCCUUCUUUCUCUCGUGCUCAUCCGAUUCCUCCUCAAUUCCAUCAUCUGCUAACUCCUCUGCUUUCGUCCACUCAGGCUCUACGUAAUUUCUUGCUCUCUCAGCCUUCUCUCUCUCCAGCUCCUUCUUUCUCUUGCGUUCCUCUUCCUUUUUCUUCUCCAUUUCCUCGUUCCUCUUCAUCUGCAUGUCAAUCACUCUCUUAUCUCUCUUUUUCACAAACUCUGCUAAUCCUCUAACAGUCUCAUUGUAUUCCCUUCGCGCCUUUUUCCUCAGCUUCUUGUUCUCAUCCUCCAUCACCCUCCUCGACUUUCUAUUAGGUCCCGCCAUCACAUCAUACUGAUCUGCCCAACAAAAGUCCAUCACAGUAACGAAUCCUAACCAAUAGCUAUAAAAUGCAGUCACCUGAGCAUAAGGACUCUCCAAAUUUCCCAUUAGAGGAGCUUCUUUUGGCAAAUCUGUACCUAACUUCCUCGCGAAAUUUAAAUCGUGUUGGUAGAUUUUCUCGAAAAGAUCACCAUACACCUUGUAAAAUCCCUUCCCUUUAUCUGAAUA
rnacentral:misc_RNA from 1 species